GAUGUUCUCCUUCCACCAAAGUGGACAUGUUCAUAUAAUGUUUGGGAUUGAAGCAGGUGUGCAUGUUUUGCACCAGAGGAGAUUAGCCCAAAGGAACUGGAGAAUAUUCUCAAAGUGGGUACAGAUUUGAAGGCGGCAAAGGUUCUAGAAAGCCCU